rnacentral:snRNA from 12 species
AUCUCUGCGCAGUGGCGAUAUCGUAACCAAUGAGGUUCUACCGAGGUGCGAUUAUUGCUAGUUGAAAACUUUUACCAAUACCCCGCCAAGACGAUGUGAAAUACCAUCGGCUACGGCAAUUUUUGACAGCCCUUACGAGGG